rnacentral:lncRNA from 1 species
AUGGUAUAUGACCGUCACGAGCGUAAAGACAGCCUCGGUUUCCACCCUGCCAACAAACUUGCCGAGGCCGCUUAUAUGCAGCAACGCAAAGGCAGCCAAGAGGAAGGAUUAAUGGCYCCCGUGGCCGCGUCCUGCUGGCGGCUGUCCCGCCAGCCCUGCCCGCCUGGCGCUGCCCUUUGCCCGCGGCAGCCUCCACGUGGCCACGCAGGGCCGGAGUCCACCGACGGCCGAGCCAUGGACCGCUUCGCCAUCCUCGUGGGCACAGCUCUCCUCCUGCAAGUCCCUGGGGACACCCAGGCGCUGAGCAACACCAGAGGAAAUCAGCUGCCUACUGAUCUGGAUUUCAUCAAGGAAAUCAUCCUGGGCAUAAGAGCUGUUGAGCCUCCAGAAGAGAGUGAGAUAACUGUAGAUGCUGAACCAGGAAUAAAGGUCUUCAGCGAUGCACAAGCCUGGAGAGGCCCCUCYGGAGCCCAGGCCAUAGAAGGACCUGAGGAGGACCGCGAUCACCUCCACCAUCCCGAAGGCAAUGGAGUUGAACAUGCAGCACAUGUGCAGCGCCUGGCUCUGCCCCGCAAGGUGCAGAGCGGCCCAGAAGAAGACCGGGACCAUAUCCACCAUGGCCGAGAGGAGGAGAUGUGACUCCACCUGGGAUAAUAAAAGGGGGAUCUGAGCUGCCCCA